rnacentral:rRNA from 1 species
CCUACGGGUGGCAGCAGUGGGGAAUAUUGCGCAAUGGGCGAAAGCCUGACGCAGCGACGCCGCGUGAGGGAUGAAGGUCUUCGGAUCGUAAACCUCUGUCAGCAGGGAAGUACGGUCACUGUGCUAAUCAGCAGUGAAUUGACGGUACCUGCAAAGGAAGCACCGGCUAACUCCGUGCCAGCAGCCGCGGUAAUACGGAGGGUGCGAGAGUUAAUCGGAAUUACUGGGCGUAAAGCGCUCGUAGGAGGUAUGGCAAGUCAAGGGUGAAAUCCCCGCGCUCAACGUGGGAACUGCCUUUGAAACUGACAAACUGGAGUGUGUUAUAGGAUAGUGCCAUUCCAAGUGUCGUAGU